rnacentral:rRNA from 1 species
UACGUAAGGACCGAGCGUUGUCCGGAAUCAUUGGGCGUAAAGGGUACGCAGGCGGAAAUUUAAGUUAGAAGUAAAAGGCAGUAGCUUAACUAUUGUAAGCAUUUGAAACUGCAUAUCUUGAGAGGAGUAGAGGUAAGUGGAAUUUUUAGUGUAGCGGUGAAAUGCGUAGAUAUUAAAAAGAAUACCGGUGGCGAAGGCGACUUACUGGGCUCAUUCUGACGCUGAGGAACGAAAGCGUGGGUAGCAAACAGG